rnacentral:misc_RNA from 1 species
CACACAGUCGCAGCAGCCGCGCCAUGAAGCUGCUGGUCAUUGCCGCACUGCUGGCGGUGGGAGCCGCCGACCUGUUGCCCGGCGACCCGCGCCACCACGGCGGACACCACGGCGGACAUCACGGCGGACAUCACGGCGGACACCACGGCGGAAACCACAGCGGAAACCACGGCUCGCACGGCAGUCAGAACGACCACGCUGCCCAUGAUUCGCACUCAGUGACCGAGGAAGUGAAGACUCCCCAGCCCGAAUACAAAGAGCCCGAGCCCGCCUACGGAGCACCUGCGCCCGCCUAUAAGGUCCCUGAGCCCGCUUAUGGAGUUCCUGAGCCCGCCUACAAGGCCCCUGAAUCCGCCUACGGAGUGCCUGAGCCCGCCUACAAGGCUCCUGAACCCAACUAUGGAGCCCCUGCACCCGCCUAUAAGGCCCCUGAGCCCGCCUACGGAGCACCUGAGGCAGAAUAUGGAGCGCCUGAGCCCGCCUACAAGGCCCCUGAACCCGCCUACGGAGAAGCGCCUGAGCCCGCCUACAGGGCUCCUGAACCCGACUAUGGAGCCCCUGCACCCGCCUACGGAGCACCUGAGGCAGAAUAUGGAGCGCCCGAGCCUGCCUAUAAGGCCCCUGAGCCCGCAUAUGGAGCGCCUGAACCCGUUUACGGAGCUCCUGCGCCCACCUAUAAGGUCCCUGAGCCCGCUUACGCAGUUCCUGAGCCCGCCUACAAGGCCCCUGAACCCGCCUACGGAGCACCUGAGGCUGAAUAUGGAGCACCUGAGCCGCCCGCCUAUAAGGCCCCUGAGCCCGCCUACGGAGCACCUGAGGCCGAAUAUGGAGCGCCUGAACCUGCCUACAAGGCCCCUGAACAGGCCUACGGAGCGCCUGAGCCCGCCUACAAGGCUCCUGAACCCAACUAUGGAGCCCCUUCGCCCGCCUACGGAACACCUGACGAGGAGUAUGGAGCGCCUGAGCCCGCCUACAAAGCCCCUCAACCCGCCUACGGAGCGCCUGAACCCGCCUACAAAGCACCUGAAGCAGAAUAUGGAGCACCUGAGCCUGCCUACAAGGUCCCUGAACCUGCCUACAAAGCUCCUGAACCCGCCUACAAGGCUCCUAAGCCCGUCCACAAGGUUCCUGAACCCGCCUACGAAGCCCCUGAGCCCACCUACGGAGUACCUGAGGCGGAAUAUGGAGCGCCUGAACCCACCUACAAGGCCCCUGAGUCCGCCUACGGAGCGCCUGAACCCGAGUAUAAGGCUCCUGAGCCCACCUACAAGGCUCCUGAGCCCGCCUACAAGGCCCCUGAAUCCGCCUACAAAACCGUUGAAUCUGCUUAUGGAGCACCUGAGCCAGUCUACAAGGCUCCUGAGCCCGCCUACAAGGCACCUAAGCCCGCCUAUGGAGCACCUAGGGCCGAAUAUGGAGCCCCCCAGCAUAUCUAUAAGUCUCCAGGUGCUGCCUACGUUUCUCCCCAGUAUGCAUAUGCUGCUGCUCAGACUGCGUACCAUGCUCCCGUGACUGCCUAUGGAACACCUCAGCCGGCAUAUGGCCCUUCCUACGGUGCUGCUCAGGCCUCCUAUAAGGCUCCUGAACCUGCUUACGGUGCGCCUGGGCCCGCCGCCUAUCAGGCCCCAGAGCCAGCAUACAAGGCUCCUGAGCCCGCUUACGAAGCCCCUGAUGCAGAAUAUGGAGCGCCUGAGUCCGCGUACAAGGCCCCUGAGCCCGCCUACGGAGCGCCUGAGUCCGCGUACAAGGCUCCUGAGCCCGCCUACAAGACCCCUGAGCCCGACUACAAGGCUCCUGAACCUGUCUAUGGAGCCCCUGAGCCCGCCUACAAGGCCCCUGAGCCCGCCUAUAAGGCCCCUGAGCCCACCUACAAGGCCUCUGAGCCUACCUACAAGAAUUCUGGGUCCACCUAUAAGGCCCCUGAGCCAGCUUACAAGGCCCCUGAGACCGCCUACGGUGCGCCUGAGGCCGCCUAUAAGGCACCUGAAACCGCCUACGGAACACCUGAGGCAGAAUAUGGAGCUCCUGAGCCCGCCUACAAGGCACCUCAACCUGCCUACGGAGCCCCUCAGCCCACAUACGGAACCCCCGAUCCUGCCUACAAGACCCCUGAGCCCGCCUACGGAGCACCUGAUGUAGAAUAUGGGGCUCCUGAGCCAGAGUAUGGAGCCCCUGAGCCCGCCUACGGAGCUCCUGAGCCCGCCUACGGUGCGCCUCGGCCUGCCUACCAGCCGGGCAGUUUCCGGGCGCACGGCUCGCUGUUCCAGGCGGCGCGUCCGCUGCCGCCCCUGCCGCCGAAGGGCUCGUCCGCGUCCUACCAGCCGGCGCCGCGGCCCGCCUACCGGCCGCGUGGCAUCAAGGUGAGCAAGCGCGACUCGUCGGCGACCAGCUCGCACACCAGCAUCCGGCUGGGCUCCGGCGGCGUGCGCUCCUGGUGAGGGCGCCCCACGGUCACCGAGGCCCGCCCGAGGGCAAUGGAAGCGAGCGGUCACCUGAGCGCACCUGAGGUCACUCAAGUUACCUGAAGACAGUGGUCGCUGGCUGUCAGCUGAGGUUCACCGGAGCUGGACUUGAAACGAGGCCACUUGGAGCGAGCGGUCGCCAAUGCACGGGGUUAUGGCCUUUUGUCAGGGCUCGGGCGAUGAGUGCUUUACCUAUGUCUUCCGUUAGCCUUUGGCCAGCGCUCUGAAACGCCAUCGGCAACACUGGGGUGCCAGGGCGAGCGAUUUGAUAAUCCGGUUCGUAACCGUGGAUUAUGUUCUGUUUGUGACUGCGUUCGGCACAUUGUGAUUAUGAUGAUAAUGAUGUGAGUUCCCUGUGCGUCUUUUUAUUAUUGUGUGCCUAUGUUUUUAUAAUUUCAUUUGUUGACUACGCCUGACCAUGUCGGUCAAGUUUCCCCGCUAUUUGGGCUUGUUCGCCUCAGGCCUCUGCAAUGAACCACACGGACUACAUACAAGCCUUACAAGCCAAGGUAGAAGCCUUGCUUGACUCUUAUUCUGAUUUUUUUUUUCUUAACCUAAUGUUAAAUAACAACAACCCCUAACGACUGUCCCAAUCGUUGGGGUUAACAGCCCUCUCCAGCCAAAGUGGACUUUAUCUUUCGGAAAUUGUUCCCUGCCAUCUCCUUUUAUCUUUCAUUGGUAAUUGCCGCAUCCUGUUUGCACGUGUCAUUGCUAUACGAUGCCGAUGUCCUUUUAACUGCGGGCCUGAUGAGUGAGCUGCAUUAUUCAUUCCCUACCCCGAUGACAAGUGAAAAUACACCGAAGUCACGAAACUGUUUGACUUUUAUAGGUGCCUAUGCGUAUUUAACCAUUUGAAGGUACGGUAUUGGUUAUCCACUUUUAAGCCCAUGUGUUGCAUUCCUUUUCCUUCUGUAUUAGGGAGUGACUGAUGAAUGGUAUCGGCAAUAUGUGAAUAGUGAGUGUAUGCGACAUUGACGACAUUGUUGUUGUGGGCUUUUCAGUGCCCGGCCGUACGUUAUGAUCGCAUGAGUGUGCAGUGCACAGUGCACACUAAGCGCUGUGUGCUGUAUGAACGAAUAACGAGUUUCUGUCAUUCAAGUAAAAUACGAAUAAAUACUGUGUCAAAGGUUGAA